CAGCAUGAUGAUAAACUGGGCUUGCGGAAGCAGAUUGAGCAGAAAAAGAGGUUGCAAAAGGUCGACCUGUGGUAUCUGGAA
rfam:Macleaya cordata isolate BLH2017 scaffold1787, whole genome shotgun sequence.